UACACCUUGAGGCUUGUUAUUUGGUUAGUAUAUCUUAUGCAUCAAUCAUGAACCAAAUUGCAAUUCAAAUAGUUGAUCUUAAGAGCCUCUAAUUUAAUAAAAAAGGGGAAGAAUAAUGAUUUUCUUGAGUAUCUCUUAGAAAACCUAUUUUUGGCAUUCACUAAUGAGUUCUUAUUGGCUUGUUCUUUAGAACUUCAAUUUCGUGCCAAUCCAUUAUUAUGUGUACCAAAAUGUGCUUCUUUUUAAAGAAAUAAAGUCUUUAAAAGAGCUUUAAAAGAAUCUUCAAAGCCUUGAAUUUUAUGUAUGCUCUAAGAUAUAUCAUAAAUU
rnacentral:lncRNA from 1 species